UGGGUGGGCUCGGGCGGCAGCACACCCCGAACCUGGUCAGGUCCGGGAGGAAGCAGCCAUAAGGGGUCCCUGUUGAGCGUCCGGGUCCACCCAGCG
rnacentral:SRP_RNA from 1 species